CCUACGGGUGGCAGCAGUGAGGAAUAUUGGUCAAUGGGCGCGAGCCUGAACCAGCCAAGUCGCGUGAGGGAGGACGGCCCUACGGGUUGUAAACCUCUUUUGCCGGGGAGCAACGGGCGUCACGUGUCGCGCCACUGAGAGUACCCGGAGAACAAGCAUCGGCUAACUCCGUGCCAGCAGCCGCGGUAAUACGGGGGAGGCGAGCGUUAUCCGGAUUUAUUGGGUUUAAAGGUUUGGUAGGCGGAUCGUUAAGUCAGUGGGAAAAUUGGGGGGCUCAACCCCUUACCGCAAUUGAAACUGGCGUGCUUGAGUGGAAGAGAAGUAUGCGGAAUGCGUGGUGUAGCGGUGAAAUGCAUAGAUAUCACGCAGAACCCCGAUGGCGAAGGCAGCAUGCCGGCUUCCGACUGACGCUGAAGCACGAAAGCGUGGGGAUCGAACAGGAUUAGAUACCCCAGUAGUC
rnacentral:rRNA from 1 species